UUCACAGCUCUGCACAUUGAACUCUUUGCUCAUCUGCAGAAUGAGCACAAAAGAGGGAGUGGCACUGUUAGCUUCCCUACGCUGCCCUGCCAAUGUGCCUCAACCCUAACCUGGAGGGACCAUUUCAAGGCGUGAGAAGGUGAUUCAGACUCCAUGCCUAUUUUUCCUUUGGCCUCU
rnacentral:sRNA from 1 species